UUAAGCAUAUCAAUAAGCGGAGGAAAAGAAACCAACAGGGAUUGCCCCAGUAACGGCGAGUGAAGCGGCAAGAGCUCAAAUUUGAAAUCUGGCCUCCUCCGGGGGUCCGAGUUGUAAUUUGCAGAGGAUGCUUCGGGUGCGGCCCCCGUCUAAGUUCCUUGGAACAGGACGUCAGAGAGGGUGAGAAUCCCGUCUUGGGCGGGCGGCCCGCGCCCGUGUGAAGCUCCUUCGACGAGUCGAGUUGUUUGGGAAUGCAGCUCUAAGCGGGUGGUAAAUUUCAUCUAAAGCUAAAUAUUGGCCGGAGACCGAUAGCGCACAAGUAGAGUGAUCGAAAGGUUAAAAGCACCUUGAAAAGGGAGUUAAACAGCACGUGAAAUUGUUGAAAGGGAAGCGCUUGCGGCCAGACUCGGGGGCGGGGUUCAGCGGGCGCUCGUCGCCCGUGCACUCCCCGCGCCCCGGGCCAGCAUCAGUUUCGACGGUCGGUCAAAGGCCCCCGGAAUGUGUCGUCUCUAGGGACGUCUUAUAGCCGGGGGUGCAAUGCGGCCCGUCGGGACUGAGGAACGCGCUUCGGCUCGGAUGCUGGCGUAAUGGCCGUAAGCGGCCCGUCUUGAAACACGGACCAAGGAGUCUAACAUCCACGCGAGUGUUCGGGUGUCAAACCCGUGCGCGCAGUGAAAGCGAACGGAGGUGGGAGCCUUUGGGCGCACCAUCGACCGAUCCUGAAGUCUUCGGAUGGAUUUGAGUAGGAGCGUGGCCGUUGGGACCCGAAAGAUGGUGAACUAUGCCUGAAUAGGGUGAAGCCAGAGGAAACUCUGGUGGAGGCUCGCAGCGGUUCUGACGUGCAAAUCGAUCGUCAAAUUUGGGCAUAGGGGCGAAAGACUAAUCGAACCAUCUAGUAGCUGGUUCCUGCCGAAGU
rnacentral:rRNA from 1 species